AUUAGAUCCUGGUGGGAUAAUUUUUGAGGUGAACAAGUAAAAGUCAAUUUUGACGGGCUACCAAUGAAUUACUAAUUUCCACGUCGGAAAAGUCCAGUUGACGUGCACGACACGUGACAAUCCUUUGUAAAAUGGCGUAAUAAAUGAGACGGAUCUUUUUCUUUUUUCUUUUUUCUUUUUUUCCGACAAACACAACAGAUCCGAAUCAGCGCCCUAUUUUCUCCUCUCGCGAUUUCUGGAAAUCGCAGAUCAUAUUUGGACAGACAGGACACAAGGUAUCAUCAUUAUAUGGAUAAGGCAGAACCUAACAAGGAGCUCAUUGAGGAUUCAACUCGUGAAUCACUAAUUGCCAUCUCGUACGGGGUACCUGACAACGUCAAACAACCUGCUGCAACCUCUCCUAAAGAUACAAAUGGUGACAACGCUUGUGACACCCCAGACUUCGAUGGAGAAGAGAAGUAUAGGUCUGAGCUGAUUUCCAUUUCCUAUUCAUCAUCACCAGAUAUGGAAGUGUGGCCGCUGUCGCCCUGUGGAGUUUGACUGGUAGCGUAUGCUACAGCUUCGCCACACGCUACUAUGUAAAAUUCCGGCCGCCAAAAAUUGUAAAAACAAUUCUUCUUCUGUUUAUGAUUUGUGUUGCAAAACUUGUGACAUCAAGAACUCUUUUGUUCAAUAGAGUAAACAUGCUGUGGAUA